UACGGAGGGUGCAAACGUUGCUCGGAAUCAUUGGGCGUAAAGCGCACGUAGGCGGCCUGAUAAGUCGGGUGUGAAAGCCCUGGGCUCAACCCAGGAAGUGCACUCGAAACUGUCAGGCUUGAAUAUGGAAGAGGGUCGCGGAAUUCCCGGUGUAGAGGUGAAAUUCGUAGAUAUCGGGAGGAACACCAGUGGCGAAGGCGGCGCCUGGGCCAAUAUUGACGCUGAGGUGCGAAAGCGUGGGGAGCAAACAGGG
rnacentral:rRNA from 1 species